CGGGGGGAGCAAGCGUUGUUCGGAUUUACUGGGCGUAAAGGGCGCGUAGGCGGCCAGCACAAGUCAGUUGUGAAAUCUCCGGGCUUAACUCGGAAAGGUCAACUGAUACUGUGCGGCUAGAGUGCAGAAGGGGCAACUGGAAUUCUCGGUGUAGCGGUGAAAUGCGUAGAUAUCGAGAGGAACACCUGCGGCGGAGGCGGGUUGCUGGGCUGACACUGACGCUGAUGCGCGAAAGCCAGGGGAGCGAACGGGAUUAGAUACCCCGGUAGUCCUGGCCUUAAACGAUGGAUGCUUGGUGUCUGGAGUUUUAUAGUCUCCGGGUGCCGUAGCUAACGCGUUAAGCAUCCCGCCUGGGGAGUACGGUCGCAAGACUG
rnacentral:rRNA from 1 species